rnacentral:tRNA from 2 species
GGCUGGAUAGCUCAGCUGGUUAGAGCGGUGGAUUCAUAACCCACAGGUCGGCGGUUCAAGUCCGCCUCCAGCUACCA